UACGUAGGGCGCGAGCGUUAUCCGGAAUUAUUGGGCGUAAAGAGCUCGUAGGCGGUUUGUCACGUCUGCUGUGAAAACUGGAGGCUCAACCUCCAGCCUGCAGUGGGUACGGGCAGACUAGAGUGCGGUAGGGGAGAUUGGAAUUCCUGGUGUAGCGGUGGAAUGCGCAGAUAUCAGGAGGAACACCGAUGGCGAAGGCAGAUCUCUGGGCCGUAACUGACGCUGAGACGCGAAAGCGUGGGGAGCAAACAGG
rnacentral:rRNA from 1 species